rnacentral:misc_RNA from 1 species
ACUCCGUUGGUGAACCAGCGGAGGGAUCAUUACCGAGUUUACAACUCCCAAACCCAAUGUGAACCAUACCAAACUGUUGCCUCGGCGGGGUCACGCCCCGGGUGCGUCGCAGCCCCGGAACCAGGCGCCCGCCGGAGGGACCAACCAAACUCUUUCUGUAGUCCCCUCGCGGACGUUAUUUCUUACAGCUCUGAGCAAAAAUUCAAAAUGAAUCAAAACUUUCAACAACGGAUCUCUUGGUUCUG